rnacentral:miRNA from 1 species
UGGUCAGCGUAAGUAUGUCCAUGUGGUAUUUGGGACAUACUUAUACUAAAA